rnacentral:piRNA from 1 species
UGGUACUUGAGGUGUCAGUGACAGAACGGU